rnacentral:rRNA from 1 species
AUUGAACGCUGGCGGCAGGCCUAACACAUGCAAGUCGAACGGUAACAGGAAGCAGCUUGCUGCUUUGCUGACGAGUGGCGGACGGGUGAGUAAUGUCUGGGAAACUGCCUGAUGGAGGGGGAUAACUACUGGAAACGGUAGCUAAUACCGCAUAACGUCUCAAGACCAAAGAGGGGGACCUUAGGGCCUCUUGCCAUCGGAUGUGCCCAGAUGGGAUUAGCUAGUAGGUGGGGUAACGGCUAACCUAGGCGACGAUCCCUAGCUGGUCUGAGAGGAUGACCAGCCACACUGGAACUGAGACACGGUCCAGACUCCUACGGGAGGCAGCAGUGGGGAAUAUUGCACAAUGGGCGCAAGCCUGAUGCAGCCAUGCCGCGUGUAUGAAGAAGGCCUUCGGGUUGUAAAGUACUUUCAGCAGGGAGGAAGGGAGUAAAGUUAAUCCCUUUGCUCAUUGACGUUACCCGCAGAGGAAGCACCGGCUAACUCCGUG